rnacentral:rRNA from 1 species
UACGGAGGAUCCAAGCGUUAUCCGGAUUUAUUGGGUUUAAAGGGUGCGUAGGCGGCCUAUUAAGUCAGGGGUGAAAGACGGUAGCUUAACUAUCGCAGUGCCCUUGAUACUGAUGGGCUUGAAUGUACUUGAGGUAGGCGGAAUGUGACAAGUAGCGGUGAAAUGCAUGGAUAUGUCACAGAACACCAAUUGCGAAGGCAGCUUACUAAAGUAUGAUUGACGCUGAGGCACGAAAGCGUGGGGAUCAAACAGG